GUCAGGAUGGCCGAGUGGUCUAAGGCGCCAGACUUAAGGCUCUGUCUUCCCUCUCCUGGGUGUUCUGGUCUCUGUAUGGAGACGUGGGUUCAAAUCCCACUCCUGACA
rfam:Alligator mississippiensis ScZkoYb_59, whole genome shotgun sequence.